rnacentral:rRNA from 1 species
UACGAAGGGGGCUAGCGUUGCUCGGAAUUACUGGGCGUAAAGGGCGCGUAGGCGGCGCUGCAAGUCAGGCGUGAAAUUCCUGGGCUUAACCUGGAGGCUGCGCUUGAGACUGUGGUGCUAGAGGAUGGAAGAGGCUCGUGGAAUUCCCAGUGUAGAGGUGAAAUUCGUAGAUAUUGGGAAGAACACCGGUGGCGAAGGCGGCGAGCUGGUCCAUUACUGACGCUGAGGCGCGACAGCGUGGGGAGCAAACAGG